rnacentral:tmRNA from 1 species
GGGGAUGAUUGAUUCGACGGAGACGGUACAUUAACAACUGCAAGCCGGCGAUGACAAAAGAGCCGUAAAACUUUGUUAAAAUUCUAAUUGCUAAGAUAAAACUUAGUGAGCUUGAUGAAUUAGCGCUUCGUGCGUUGGUUCUCGAGCGACGUCAGGCACGAUUAGCGUUUGCGGAAGUAAAUGCUUAUAACGCCUAAGUCCAUCUUUAGCAGUCUUUAUCUGGUGGGAAGCUAAAGGUGUAAAUACAGCCGGGUCGUCAGGAAUCAAUUGACCACUGGUUCCGGAGCAAAAAGGUCAAACCUUUAUGCAGGUAUUUGUCCGUUCUUUUCUGCAUGAAGUAACCAAACGGACUACGCUUGUAGACGUUUUUGGUGUAUUUCUUCGGACCCGAGCUCAUUACUCGGCAUCUCCACAC